CACGUAGGGUGCGAGCGUUGUCCGGAAUUAUUGGGCGUAAAGAGCUCGUAGGCGGUGUGUCGCGUCGGCCGUGAAAACUUGCAGCUUAACUGUGGGCGUGCGGUCGAUACGGGCAUCACUGGAGUUCGGCAGGGGAGACUGGAAUUCCUGGUGUAGGGGUGAAAUGCGCAGAUAUCAGGGGGAACACCGGUGGCGAAGGCGGGUCUCUGGGCCGAUACUGACGCUGAGGAGCGAAAGCGUGGGGAGCGAACAGG
rnacentral:rRNA from 1 species